rnacentral:rRNA from 1 species
UACGUAGGGGGCAAGCGUUGUCCGGAAUCAUUGGGCGUAAAGCGCACGUAGGCGGCUUCUUAAGUCAGGGGUGAAAUCCUGGAGCUCAACUCCAGAACUGCCCUUGAUACUGAGGAGCUCGAGUCCGGAAGAGGUGAGUGGAACUCCGAGUGUAGAGGUGAAAUUCGUAGAUAUUCGGAAGAACACCAGUGGCGAAGGCGGCUCACUGGUCCGGUACUGACGCUGAGGUGCGAAAGCGUGGGGAGCGAACAGG